rnacentral:rRNA from 1 species
GAUGAACGCUGGCGGCGUGCUUAACACAUGCAAGUCGAACGGGAUCCCAGGAGCUUGCUCCUGGGUGAGAGUGGCGAACGGGUGAGUAAUGCGUGACCGACCUGCCCCAUACACCGGAAUAGCUCCUGGAAACGGGUGGUAAUGCCGGAUGCUCCGACAUGACGCAUGUCGUGUCGGGAAAGAUUCAUCGGUAUGGGAUGGGGUCGCGUCCUAUCAGCUUGAUGGCGGGGUAACGGCCCACCAUGGCUUCGACGGGUAGCCGGCCUGAGAGGGCGACCGGCCACAUUGGGACUGAGAUACGGCCCAGACUCCUACGGGAGGCAGCAGUGGGGAAUAUUGCACAAUGGGCGCAAGCCUGAUGCAGCGACGCCGCGUGCGGGAUGACGGCCUUCGGGUUGUAAACCGCUUUUGACUGGGAGCAAGCCCUUCGGGGUGAGUGUACCUUUCGAAUAAGCACCG